AACGAACGCUGGCGGCAUGCCUAACACAUGCGAGUCGAACGAGACCUUCGGGUCUAGUGGCGCACGGGUGCGUAACGCGUGGGAACCUGCCCUUAGGUUCGGAAUAACUCCCCGAAAGGGGUGCUAAUACCGGAUAAUGUCUUCGGACCAAAGAUUUAUCGCCUUUGGAUGGGCCCGCGUUGGAUUAGCUAGUUGGUAGGGUAAAAGCCUACCAAGGCGACGAGCCUUAGCUGGUCUGAGAGGAUGAUCAGCCACCCUGGGACUGAGACACGGCCCCGACUCCUACGGGAGGCAGCAGUGGGGAAUAUUGGACAAUGGGCGAAAGCCUGAUCCAGCCAUGCCGCGUGAGUGAUGAAGGCCUUAGGGUUGUAAAGCUCUUUUACCCGGGAUGAUAAUGACAGUACCGGGAGAAUAAGCUCCGGCUAACUCCGUG
rnacentral:rRNA from 1 species